UACAGAGGAGCCAAGCGUUGUCCGGAUUGACUGGGCGUAAAGCGCACGCAGGCGGACGCGCGCGUGGGGUGUGAAAUCUGGCCGCUUAACGGCCAGGCGCCAUCCCAUACGGCGUGUCUGGAGUGAUGCAGAGGUCGAUGGAAUUGCCGGUGCAGUGGUGAAAUGCGUAGAGAUCGGCAGGAACACCCAGGGGGAAACUAGUCGACUGGGCAUCUACUGACGCUGAGGUGCGAGAGCGUGGGGAGCGAACCGG
rnacentral:rRNA from 1 species